rnacentral:tRNA from 1 species
GGGGGAGCGCCGUAGUCGGAGAGACGGGCCGGCCUGUAAAGUCGGUGCCUCGUGCUGAGUGGGUUCGACUCCCACCUCCCCCA